UUUUCUUCUUUCGCCGAGGAAAAGCUUUUUCGCUCUGCGCUGCUCUGCUCCCUGGGCUGCCUAACGCGGCUGCGCAAUCAGGAACUUAUUGUGCAAGGCUAUUGCCCUGCCCACCGCCCACUGCCGACUGCCCACUAGCCAUUGGCCCUGACUCUGCCUCCCCUAGGAGUUAUUUCUGGCUAAAAUAUGUUGCAAGAUAUCUCUGACCUGAAGAUGAGAUAGUCGAAAAAAUCCAGGAAGUAGGAUCUCCCAAUUAUAUAAUGCACAAAAGAUAUGGACAGAUCUUUGGAAACUCAAAUAAAGAAGCCUGCUUUAAG